AAGAAAAAUCUAGCCAAAAUCCUUACAAAAUUACUUCAAUCCACUUCCAAAUUUCAUCAUCCAUUAGAGGGCUUUGAUCCUAGCUUGGAAGAGGGGGCUGUUCAUCGGUUUUCUUGGAGGAAUUUUGGUCAAGAUUUCUGCCCUAAAGCUGUCCAACUAAGUUCUUGAGAAUGAUUGAUGGAAUGAAGUUGGAAGAAAGUUAGAAAUUUGGAAAAGGAUCUCAAGAGGACUUCGAGGGAACUCCCGGCGAAGCGUCUUAGAGCUAAUUUCUCAAACUUUGACUUUUGAUACUUGGAUCUCAAGAGGACUUCGAGGGAACUCCCGGCGAAGCGUCUUAGAGCUAAUUUCUCAAACUUUGACUUUUGAUACUUGGUUUGGAAGUGGAAGUUCUGAGGCUUAAUUAGUGACCCCCAAAAAUAAUUUUUCCCCACAGGGCUCGAGGCCAAAGAAAGCGCUUGUAUUGAGUUAUUAGUGUCUGAAGGGAUAUCUCAUAUAUAAUUUGAAUUCGAUUCACUUGAUAAGUAUUUGAUGUAAUUAUUUGAGAACUGAGGACUUUUGUCUUAUUCGGGGAAUGAUACCCUUACUUGAGAUUUGUAAUGUAUCUUAUCUCGUUCUAAGUUUGAAAAAUGUUAUUUCGUUUA